rnacentral:rRNA from 1 species
ACUCCUACGGGAGGCAGCAGUGGGGAAUAUUGGACAAUGGGCGAAAGCCUGAUCCAGCCAUGCCGCGUGUGUGAAGAAGGUCUUCGGAUUGUAAGCACUUUAAGUUGGGAGGAAGGGUUGUAGAUUAAUACUCUGCAAUUUUGACGUUACCGACAGAAUAAGCACCGGCUAACUCUGUGCCAGCAGCCGCGGUAAUACAGAGGGUGCAAGCGUUAAUCGGAAUUACUGGGCGUAAAGCGCGCGUAGGUGGUUUGUUAAGUUGGAUGUGAAAUCCCCGGGCUCAACCUGGGAACUGCAUCCAAAACUGGCAAGCUAGAGUAUGGUAGAGGGUGGUGGAAUUUCCUGUGUAGCGGUGAAAUGCGUAGAUAUAGGAAGGAACACCAGUGGCGAAGGCGACCACCUGGACUGAUACUGACACUGAGGUGCG